AACGAACGCUGGCGGCGUGGAUAAGACAUGCAAGUCGAACGAGAGAAUUGCUAGCUUGCUAAUAAUUCUCUAGUGGCGCACGGGUGAGUAACACGUGAGUAACCUGCCCCCGAGAGCGGGAUAGCCCUGGGAAACUGGGAUUAAUACCGCAUAGUAUCGAAAGAUUAAAGCAGCAAUGCGCUUGGGGAUGGGCUCGCGGCCUAUUAGUUAGUUGGUGAGGUAACGGCUCACCAAGGCGAUGACGGGUAGCCGGUCUGAGAGGAUGUCCGGCCACACUGGAACUGAGACACGGUCCAGACACCUACGGGUGGCAGCAGUCGAGAAUCAUUCACAAUGGGGGAAACCCUGAUGGUGCGACGCCGCGUGGGGGAAUGAAGGUCUUCGGAUUGUAAACCCCUGUCAUGUGGGAGCAAAUUAAAAAGAUAGUACCACAAGAGGAAGAGACGGCUAACUCUGUGCCAGCAGCCGCGGUAAUACAGAGGUCUCAAGCGUUGUUCGGAAUCACUGGGCGUAAAGCGUGCGUAGGCUGUUUCGUAAGUCGUGUGUGAAAGGCGCGGGCUCAACCCGCGGACGGCACAUGAUACUGCGAGACUAGAGUAAUGGAGGGGGAACCGGAAUUCUCGGUGUAGCAGUGAAAUGCGUAGAUAUCGAGAGGAACACUCGUGGCGAAGGCGGGUUCCUGGACAUUAACUGACGCUGAGGCACGAAGGCCAGGGGAGCGAAAGAGAUUAGAUACCCCUGUAGUCCUGGCAGUAAACGGUGCACGCUGGGUGUGCGGGGAAUCGACCCCCUGCGUGCCGGAGCUAACGCGUUAAGCGUGCCGCCUGGGGAGUACGGUCGCAAGAUUAAAACUCAAAGAAAUUGACGGGGACCCGCACAAGCGGUGGAGUAUGUGGCUUAAUUCGAUGCAACGCGAAGAACCUUACCUGGGCUUGACAUGUAAUGAACAACAUGUGAAAGCAUGCGACUCUUCGGAGGCGUUACACAGGUGCUGCAUGGCCGUCGUCAGCUCGUGUCGUGAGAUGUUUGGUUAAGUCCAGCAACGAGCGCAACCCCUGUUGCCAGUUACCAGCACGUGAAGGUGGGGACUCUGGCGAGACUGCCCAGAUCAACUGGGAGGAAGGUGGGGACGACGUCAGGUCAGUAUGGCCCUUAUGCCCAGGGCUGCACACGUACUACAAUGCCCAGUACAGAGGGGGCCGAAGCCGCGAGGCGGAGGAAAUCCUGAAAACUGGGCCCAGUUCGGACUGUAGGCUGCAACCCGCCUACACGAAGCCGGAAUCGCUAGUAAUGGCGCAUCAGCUACGGCGCCGUGAAUACGUUCCCGGGUCUUGCACU
rnacentral:rRNA from 1 species